rnacentral:lncRNA from 1 species
AAGAAGUAAAAAUGAGCUAUGGGCUCACUCCAUUUUAAAUGUUUCUAGUGUGUUUGUUAGUUCAUAGGUUCAUUUAAAUGAGAAGAUGCAGUGGAUGAAGAUAAGGCGUGCUAAAACAUACGCACCAAGGCUGAGGUUGUGAAUGCCUGUGCAUGAGCUGAUGCUAGUUUAUUAAAUAUGAAAAACGGCACUAGGAUUUUAACAUCACUUGAUGUUAAAUAAUUAACUUGGAAAACUAAUGCCAACAUCAUAAAACAUGGUAUGCAUGAUA